UGGGAUGGCAUGCAGUUAGUAUCUUAGCCAUCUGAAGGUCACAACAGCUUUUCUGUAGCUGAAAGACAGUGACCAAUAGAACUGUUCCUUGUCCAAGGUUUCAUCUUUUACCAAAGGCUUUUGGACUGCAAAUCAGACAGUCUCAACUACUUGACUGUACCUGCACUCAGCAUAAGACAGAGUCACUGAGGAUGAAAAACUGAAAGAAUCAUGGCCCUUGUCUAUCCUAAACUAUCAUAAAA